CGGACGGGUGAGUAACGCGUGAGAAUCUGGCUUCAGGUUCGGGACAACCACUGGAAACGGUGGCUAAUACCGGAUAUGCCGAGAGGUGAAAGAUAUAUUGCCUGAAGAUGAGCUCGCGUCUGAUUAGCUAGUUGGUAGGGUAAUGGCCUACCAAGGUGGCGAUCGGUAACUGGUCUGAGAGGAUGACCAGUCACACUGGGACUGAGACACGGCCCAG
rnacentral:rRNA from 1 species